UUGAACGCUGGCGGAAUGCUUUACACAUGCAAGUCGAGCGGCCAGCGCGGGGCAACCUGGCGGCGAGCGGCGAACGGGUGAGUAAUGCAUCGGAACAUGUCCAUGUCGUGGGGGAUAGCCCGGCGAAAGCCGGAUUAAUACCGCAUACGCCCGAGAGGGGAAAGUGGGGGACCGCAAGGCCUCACGCGAUUGGGUUGGCCGAUGUCCGAUUAGCUAGUUGGUGGGGUAAAGGCUUACCAAGGCGAUGAUCGGUAGCUGGUCUGAGAGGAUGAUCAGCCACACUGGGACUGAGACACGGCCCAGACUCCUACGGGAGGCAGCAGUGGGGAAUUUUGGACAAUGGGGGCAACCCUGAUCCAGCCAUUCCGCGUGAGUGAAGAAGGCCUUCGGGUUGUAAAGCUCUUUUGUCCGGAACGAAACGGGUAAGGCUAAUACCUUUGCCUACUGACGGUACCGGAAGAAUAAGCACCGGCUAACUACGUGCCAGCAGCCGCGGGUAAUACGUAGGGUGCGAGCGUUAAUCGGAAUUACUGGGCGUAAAGCGUGCGCAGGCGGUUUUGUAAGCCAGAUGUGAAAUCCCCGGGCUUAACCUGGGAAUGGCAUUUGGGACUGCAAGGCUGGAGUGCGGCAGAGGAGACUGGAAUUCCUGGUGUAGCAGUGAAAUGCGUAGAUAUCAGGAGGAAUACCGAUGGCGAAGGCAGGUCUCUGGGCUGACACUGACGCUCAUGCACGAAAGCGUGGGGAGCAAACAGGAUUAGAUACCCUGGUAGUCCACGCCCUAAACGAUGUCGACUGGUUGUUGGGGGUUUGACACUCUCAGUAACGAAGCUAACGCGUGAAGUCGACCGCCUGGGGAGUACGGCCGCAAGGUUAAAACUCAAAGGAAUUGACGGGGACCCGCACAAGCGGUGGAUUAUGUGGAUUAAUUCGAUGCAACGCGAAAAACCUUACCUACCCUUGACAUGUCCGGAAGGCUUGAGAGAUCAGGCUGUGCCCGAAAGGGAACCGGAACACAGGUGCUGCAUGGCUGUCGUCAGCUCGUGUCGUGAGAUGUUGGGUUAAGUCCCGCAACGAGCGCAACCCUUGUCAUUAGUUGCUACAUUCAGUUGGGCACUCUAAUGAGACUGCCGGUGACAAACCGGAGGAAGGUGGGGAUGACGUCAAGUCCCCAUGGCCCUUAUGGGUAGGGCUUCACACGUAAUACAAUGGCGCGUACAGAGGGUUGCCAGGGGGCGACCUGGAGCCAAUCCCUUAAAGCGCGUCGUAGUCCGGAUUGCAGUCUGCAACUCGACUGCAUGAAGUCGGAAUCGCUAGUAAUCGCGGAUCAGCAUGUCGCGGUGAAUACGUUCCCGGGUCUUGUACACACCGCCCGUCACACCAUGGGAGUGGGUUUCACCAGAAGCCGGUCGCUUAACCCGCAAGGGAUGGCGCCGACCACGGUGAGAUUCAUGACUGGGGUG
rnacentral:rRNA from 1 species